GACGAACGCUGGCGGCGUGCCUAAUACAUGCAAGUAGAACGCUGAAGGAGGAGCUUGCUUCUCUGAAUGAGUUGCGAACGGGUGAGUAACGCGUAGGUAACCUGCCUGGUAGCGGGGGAUAACUAUUGGAAACGAUAGCUAAUACCGCAUAAGAGUAGAUGUUGCAUGACAUUUGCUUAAAAGGUGCAAUUGCAUCACUACCAGAUGGACCUGCGUUGUAUUAGCUAGUUGGUAAGGUAACGGCUCACCAAGGCAACGAUACAUAGCCGACCUGAGAGGGUGAUCGGCCACACUGGGACUGAGACACGGCCCAGACUCCUACGGGAGGCAGCAGUAGGGAAUCUUCGGCAAUGGACGGAAGUCUGACCGAGCAACGCCGCGUGAGUGAAGAAGGUUUUCGGAUCGUAAAGCUCUGUUGUAAGAGAAGAACGAGUGUGAGAGUGGAAAGUUCACACUGUGACGGUAUCUUACCAGAAAGGGACGGCUAACUACGUG
rnacentral:rRNA from 1 species